CAGUCGCCGCGGUAAUACAGAGGGUGCAAGCGUUAAUCGGAAUUACUGGGCGUAAAGCGCGCGUAGGUGGUUUGUUAAGUUGGAUGUGAAAUCCCCGGGCUCAACCUGGGAACUGCAUCCAAAACUGGCAAGCUAGAGUAUGGUAGAGGGUGGUGGAAUUUCCUGUGUAGCGGUGAAAUGCGUAGAUAUAGGAAGGAACACCAGUGGCGAAGGCGACCACCUGGACUGAUACUGACACUGAGGUGCGAAAGCGUGGGGAGCAAACAGGAUUAGAUACCCGGGUAGUCCCUGUCUCUUAUAA
rnacentral:rRNA from 1 species